CAUUAGCAGCAGAAUGCUUUCCUUUUGUGUCUUGAAUAUUAUAUAUACGUGCAUGCACAAUCCACAUACUGUUCAAUCAAGGUAUUAGAUCUACAUUCAUCAAGACACUGUUAUUUCAAUACACGUCGCACACAAUAUAGAAAAGAAACUGUAUAGGCCAUUUUUAAACAAAAAGGCACUUGCUUAGAACAAGACAAUAUAAAACAUUUUGGAUGUAGCUUCAACCAACAUGAACAACAGUUAAGAGCCAUUGGUGUACCAACCUAAAUGUUCAGAAAGAUACUGGGAAAAUAUUACCUCAGAAUUGUUACUGAAAUACAUUACAGAGUUGCAACACAGUUGAGUAUAGGAAAUACAUUGCUUCUUAAUAUGCUAAAACCUGUAUCUAAAAUACUAUAGAUGAAUCAUAGUCAUAAAAGUUGAAUGGCCGUUAUCCAUCGAUGACAGCCAUAAAUCUCUAAAUGGAAACCCCCUUAAAAAAAGCACUAUGCUGAUAUGCUGGGGACAAAUAACAAGAAAUAAUUAUUGUGUUCAUGUUCUGUCUUUGGUAUUUCAAAAGUAUUAAGCAAAAUGCUAUUGGAAAGCAACUGUUGGACUAGAUAAGAGCUUCAGCCUGAACCAUCAAGUCAAUUCUUAUAAAUAAAAAUGGGAUGACACAGAGCUCAAGGCAGUGUAUACAGCACACUGUCCUGCAAAGUUUCCCCACAAUCACUCUUGAGUCAAACUGGACCAGCUUAAGGUUAUCCACUUCUUAUAAUGAUUGGAAGAAGGUAGCAGUUUCAACCAAAUCUACUAGACAAUUGGGGAACAGAGUAAAGGAAGUUGCAAGAGGAGGAAGAAUCAGAAAAAAUCAUUACCUACCUAUACCAGUGGACCUUCCACUGGAUCAUAAUCCCUUCAAUCCAUGAAAACCUAAUGUAAUCCAAACUAAUAUACUGUAGUUAAUGUUAAAAGUGAACUAUGUGGACUGUUACUUGCAAAUAUUAAAUAUAGCCAAUAUGUGUCUUCCAAAUGUGCAGUUACUGAAUUGCAAGGUGUUGAUUAAUUUAUAAAUAAAUAAAUAGAGGUUGAAUUUCAGGGGAUGGAUGGAUGGAUAGAGGUUGUGGUUUUAAUCAAAUUUCCAAGGUCUCAAUGUCAAAUAUCUCUGAAACCUGUCUUCCUUCUCCAUUUAUAAUUUCUUUGAAUUCAAUAUAUUCCAGAUUUUGAAAAUUAUAUAAUUCAGAACACACCUUUUUCUCUUACCUACUAGAACAACUACAGCUCCUAUUACCAGUCCCAAAACCAAUAUCACUGGUGCAAUAAGUAACUUCCCACCUGAAAAAUAGAAAUAAAUAAAUAAAAAGAUUAUGAGAUAUUUCAGACCAUGCUAUUUUAAUUUCUGUUGGGGACAAGUUUAGCUUUGAAUAUUAAAUAUUCAAGGAACAUGCAUACCGUUCACUUACAUGAGAAAAUGAUAAAACAUUUUUGCCUUUUAUGAAUGUAAUUAUCCCCCAUAAUGGAGAAAGCAUUUAUUCAUUUAUUUAAUUUAUACAAUGUAUGGGCCACCCAACUCCUGAAGACUGAAGGUCACUGCUUUUUAAAUCUAACUGCAGUUGCAUACAAGGAAGUGGGAUUUCAUCAGAACUAGGUUAUAGGAGAAAAAAUUUAACUUCCCUCAUCUUCUCAGUACAAAUUGUACCCUUUGUCUAGGAUUAAAUUUCAAAACUACUUAUAAGACUGAAAAUCACACUAUUAAUU